CAAGGAUACAAGGAUAGGCAGCUUUCAUUGUAACCAAAAACAAAAACAAAAAAGAAAAAGGGUGCCUGACCAGGUGAACCUGACAACACAAUGACCACAGCAUUGCAGAGCCAAUUGGAUAAAACAAUAAUUACAGUCUGAUGUAUUUCCUGACUCAUUGGAAACUAAUUUGUGUGAAAAUGAUUCAUCAAAUGCUGAACUGAAAACACUCUUUCCUGCUUGUUUCUAGAUAUUUGAAAAAGACCCUUUUGUGAUCCACUUGCUACGCGAAUGGAAGCUUGAAAGAAUUGCUGCUAUGACCACCCACGCUUCUUUCAAAUUUCUGAGGACCAGCCUUCCUGUGUAAUUCGGUGUUUGAUAUUCAGAUUGUUCUAUUCCUACAAGACAACACUCUGAUCGCUUUCAGAAAAACUGCAUACUAUGGAGACUGAAGAGUGAACUGCCCUUAUGUUAAGUGAGAGAGAACUUCUGUUUGUCUCCAACCCAGAACUGCUCUAAGAAUUAGAACUGAAGCUUUCUUCCUGGAUUCCCCAAACUCAUACAAUAACCCCAGGACAUCUAAAGAACUUGGCAUUUCCUGCUCACCAGUUCAAGAUCACAUCCCUGUCUGGUUCAUUUUAGGGUUAAGCUCUUUAUCACACCAGGAUUUUGGUGAGUAUACCCACUAUAUAUGACCCCAGAGAUUGUCCAGGGCUUUUGCCUAAUACUUCUGAUUUUAGAAACUACUAUUAGGUAACUCAAAUACAGCUCUUCUCCUAGUCUUUACUAUCUACCUCUCCCUUUGACUUUAGCCCUAUAAAUUGAUUUAUGCCAGUGUUACCUGUCUGGGUUCUUCAAAAAACAUUUUAAUAUUUAUUUAUUUUUGAGAGACAGAUCAUCAGUGGGAGAGGAGUGGAGAGAGAGGAAGACACAGAAUCCAAAAGAGGCUCCAGGCUCUGAGC